CCUACGGGGGGCAGCAGUGGGGAAUAUUGGACAAUGGGGGCAACCCUGAUCCAGCCAUGCCGCGUGUGUGAAGAAGGCCCUCGGGUUGUAAAUCACUUUCAGUGAGGAAGAACGCCUGGUGGUUAAUACCCAUCAGGAAAGACAUCACUCACAGAAGAAGCACCGGCUAACUCCGUGCCAGCAGCCGCGGUAAUACGGAGGGUGCGAGCGUUAAUCGGAAUUACUGGGCGUAAAGCGCGCGUAGGUGGCUUGAUAAGCCGGUUGUGAAAGCCACGGGCUCAACCUGGGAACGGCAUCCGGAACUGUCAAGCUAGAGUGCAGGAGAGGAAGGUAGAAUUCCCGGUGUAGCGGUGAAAUGCGUAGAGAUCGGGAGGAAUACCAGUGGCGAAGGCGGCCUUCUGGACUGACACUGACACUGAGGUGCGAAAGCGUGGGUAGCAAACAGGAUUAGAUACCCCAGUAGUC
rnacentral:rRNA from 1 species